UUCCGGUUGAUCCUGCCGGAGGCUACUGCUCUGGGAGUCGGAUUAAGCCAUGCUAGCGGAGGGCAGUUUGGCUGCCCCGCGAAUAGCUCAUUAACACGUGGUCAAUCUACCCUUGGCACGUGGAUAACCCCGGGAAACUGGGAAUAAUCCUCGAUAGACCGNCGUUCUGGAAAUGUCCCUCGUCUAAAAGUCUUGGCGCCCAUUGAUGAGACUGCGGCCUAUUAUGUAGUUGGUGAGGUAAUGGCUCACCAAGCCAAGAAUGGGUACGGGCCCUGAGAGGGGGAGCCCGGAGAUGGGGACUGAGACAAGGCCCCAGGCCCUACGGGGCGCAGCAGGUGCGAAAAUUCCGCAAUGCGUGCAAGCGCGACGGAGUGACUCCCAGUGCCGGUGGUCUAACGAUCGCCGGCUUUUCUGAAGUGUAAAAAGCUUCAGGUAAUAAGGGCCGGGUAAGACUGGUGCCAGCCGCCGCGGUAACACCAGCGGCCCAAGUGGUGUCGAUU
rnacentral:rRNA from 1 species